CGUAAAGAACCUGCCUCAUAGGCUGGGACAACUAUUGGAAACGAUAGCUAAUACCGGAUAACAGCAUUAACUGCAUGGUUGAUGUUUGAAAGUUGGUUUUGCUAACACUAUGAGAUGGCUUUGCGGUGCAUUAGCUAGUUGGUGGGGUAAAGGCCUACCAAGGCGACGAUGCAUAGCCGACCUGAGAGGGUGAUCGGCCACACUGGGACUGAGACACGGCCCAG
rnacentral:rRNA from 1 species